rnacentral:lncRNA from 7 species
UAUGGAAACCAAAUGUAUAUUCGCAAUGCCGCAAUCACGGAGUGAGGCCGGAGGAGAUAUGCAGAUGCAUGUACAUGUACCUGAAGCACUCAUGUACAUACUACAUUGGUCAAUGAACCACCAGGAGUCCAGCGUAUGCUCGUCGUAUGCAAGAGGUCAGACUAGGCGGAUACAAAAUGACAGCAGUCCGUGGGAGUUCUUUCAAGGGCGGUGCCGAUGUACGAGCCUGGUAGUGGCGGUAACAGGGUGACGCCGCGGGCCGUGGCGUGGACUACUACCUCUGUAUUGCCGGCGACCGCUGCCUCUGACCUUGCCGCUGCCGAUACAGAGUCGUCACAUCGCCGCAUCUGUCAGCCUCUGCCACCUCAGCCUCAGCAGGGAAAACCUUCCCGGCGGAUUCCCAUGGCGCAGCCGCUCAGGCCCCAGCGGCCAGCGACCGGCCGAGAAUCUAACCGGAGAUAAUCCGGCCGGCCAGGGCCAGGGCCAGCCCAGGGAAAAAGCUGAGAGAGAGAGCCAGAGAGGCCAGGAUAAAAGGC